AAUACGGCUGCGAACCAGACAAAGUCCUGCCUGCAUGGAGCUUACAGUGUGAUGGACGGCUCUGGCGACAGGGACCAACAAAGCAAUGCAAAAGAUCAGGGGGGCCCAGUGCUCUGAUGGAAACCACAGUGGGGAACCUUCCAUGCAGGUAGUCUGGGGUGAUGGAAUGUCACAGAAGAGAGAUGCCCAGCAAGGCCGGAGCAGAGGCCCACGGCACGGCCAGACACUGGGAUGAGCUGGGGAGGUGGCCUGCUCAAAACUGAGACUUGAGAAGAAUCUCUCUUAAAAGAGAGGCCCAAUCUUCCUCGGCUAUGGGGGCGCAGAGGAGGGGUGACAGCUAGCUGAAGG